rnacentral:rRNA from 1 species
AACGCUGGCGGCGUGCCUAACACAUGCAAGUCGAACGAAGCAUCUGGAGCAGAUCUCUUCGGAGUGACGCACCUUAUGACUUAGUGGCGGACGGGUGAGUAACACGUGAGCAACCUGCCUUUCAGAGUGGAAUAACAGUUGGAAACGGCUGCUAAUACCACAUAACGUUUUUGUGCCGCAUGACACGAUAACCAAAGAUUUAUCGCUGAGAGAUGGGCUCGCGUCCGAUUAGGUAGAUGGUGAGGUAACGGCUCACCAUGCCGACGAUCGGUAGCCGGACUGAGAGGUUGAUCGGCCACAUUGGGACUGAGACACGGCCCAGACUCCUACGGGAGGCAGCAGUGGGGGAUAUUGCACAAUGGGCGCAAGCCUGAUGCAGCAACGCCGCGUGCGGGAAGACGGCCUUCGGGUUGUAAACCGCUGUCCUUGGGGAAGAAACAAAUGACGGUACCCAAGAAGGAAGCCACGGCUAACUACGUGCC